UGCUGAACAUUAAUGCUGUGUACAGUUUAUCUCUAUCUAUAAUAAUAUUCAAGAUAGUAACCAAAAACAGCAAAAUUUCCUUAAAAAUUUCCAAUUCAGGGGCAGCAACCCAACAACCAGUUGUCGGAUUCAUCUGAAAAUUUCAGGGCAGAUAGAUCUCGACAUGCAAAACAAUUUAACCCCAAUGUCUGAAUUACUCUUAAUGCUUUGGUCUCAGAGUUAUAAACCAAAAUCUAUAUUUUACCCCUAUGUUCUAUUUUUAGCCAUGGUGGCCAUCUUGGUUGGUUAGCAGGGUCACCGCACACACUUUUUAAACUAGAUACCUCAAUGAUGAUUAUGGCCAAGUAUGGUUAAAUUUGGACCAGUAGUUUUAGAGAAGAUUUUUGUAAAAGAUCAGAAAAAAUUACGAAAAAAUGGUAAAAAAUUACUAUAAAGGGCAAUAACUCCUUAAGGGGUCAACUGAC
rnacentral:lncRNA from 1 species